rnacentral:rRNA from 1 species
AGAGCGAACGCUGGCGGCAGGCCUAAUACAUGCAAGUCGAACGCACCUUCGGGUGAGUGGCGGACGGGUGAGUAACACGUGGGAACGUGCCCUUUGGUUCGGAAUAAUCCGGGGAAACCUGGCCUAAUACCGGAUGAGCCCUUCGGGGGAAAGAUUUAUCGCCAUUGGAGCGGCCCGCGUCUGAUUAGCUAGUUGGUGGGGUAAAGGCCCACCAAGGCUACGAUCAGUAGCUGGUCUGAGAGGAUGAUCAGCCACACUGGGACUGAGACACGGCCCAGACUCCUACGGGAGGCAGCAGUAGGGAAUCUUGCGCAAUGGGGGAAACCCUGACGCAGCCAUGCCGCGUGAAUGAUGAAGGUCUUAGGAUUGUAAAUUCUUUCAGGCGGGAAGAUAAUGACUGUACCCGCAGAAGAGCUCCGGCUAACUUCGCGCCAGCAGCCGC